GGUUCGAUGCCACGUCGCCGGUAGCAACGGCUGUGACCGGCGAUGUCAUGAUCGAACCAAUAUCCAACUCUUUCGCAUCCUGAUAGGAACCUGUGGAUCGAUCAUGACCGUUCGUUCACGGAGCCGUUUUGUGCGAUUACAUUU